rnacentral:rRNA from 1 species
CUGGGCUAGACAACAGUGGACCGUCCUAGAAAUAGGAUUUUCCCUUCGGGGACCACUGGUUCAGGUGCUGCAUGGCUGUCGCCAGCUCGUGCCGUGAGGUGUUGGGUUAAGUCCCGCAACGAGCGCAACCCUCGUCCUUAGUUGCCACCAUUCAGUUGGGCACUCUAGGGAGACUGCCGGCGUUAAGCCGGAGGAAGGUGGGGAUGAUGUCAAGUCAUCAUGGCCUUUAUGUCCAGGGCUACACACGUGCUACAAUGGCAAGUACAAAGCGCUGCAAACUCGCGAGAGGGAGCCAAUCGCAAAAAGCUUGUCUCAGUUCGGAUUGGAGUCUGCAACUCGACUCCAUGAAGCUGGAAUCGCUAGUAAUCGCAGAUCAGCACGCUGCGGUGAAUACGUUCCC